UGAAUCAGGGGAGAGGGGGCGCCUGGGUGGCUCAGUUGGUUGAGCGUCUGACUGUAUCUCAGGUCGAAUCUCGUGGUCUGCGAGUUCGAGCCCCACAUAAGGCUCCGUGCCCGUCGUGCGGAGCCUGUUUCCGACUCUGUGCCUGCCGUCUGACUCUCUCCCGUCCGCUGUCUGGAUGUUAGAGUCGUGUGGUGUACGGGGA